CGUAGGGUGCAAGCGUUAAUCGGAAUUACUGGGCGUAAAGCGUGCGCAGGCGGUUGUGCAAGACAGAUGUGAAAUCCCCGGGCUUAACCUGGGAACUGCAUUUGUGACUGCACGGCUAGAGUGUGUCAGAGGGGGGUAGAAUUCCACGUGUAGCAGUGAAAUGCGUAGAUAUGUGGAGGAAUACCGAUGGCGAAGGCAGCCCCCUGGGAUAACACUGGCGCUCAUGCACGAAAGCGUGGGGAGCAAACAGGAUUAGAUACCCUGGUAGUCCACGCCCUAAACGAUGUCAACUAGUUGUCGGGUCUUAAUUGACUUGGUAACGCAGCUAACGCGUGAAGUUGACCGCCUGGGGAGUACGGUCGCAAGAUUA
rnacentral:rRNA from 1 species